rnacentral:rRNA from 1 species
CAGACUCCUACGGGAGGCAGCAGUGGGGAAUCUUGGACAAUGGGCGCAAGCCUGAUCCAGCGAUGCCGCGUGAGUGACGAAGGCCCUAGGGUCGUAAAGCUCUUUCGCCAGGGAUGAUAAUGACAGUACCUGGUAAAGAAACCCCGGCUAACUCCGUGCCAGCAGCCGCGGUAAUACGGAGGGGGUUAGCGUUGUUCGGAAUUACUGGGCGUAAAGCGCACGUAGGCGGACUAGUCAGUCAGAGGUGAAAUCCCAGGGCUCAACCCUGGAACUGCCUUUGAUACUGCUAGUCUAGAGUUCGAGAGAGGUGAGUGGAAUUCCGAGUGUAGAGGUGAAAUUCGUAGAUAUUCGGAGGAACACCAGUGGCGAAGGCGGCUCACUGGCUCGAUACUGACGCUGAGGUGCGAAAGUGUGGGGAGCAAACGGGAUUAGAUACCCUGGUAGUCCACACCGUAAACGAUGAAUGCCAGACGUCGGGGGGCUUGCCCUUCGGUGUCACACCUAACGGAUUAAGCAUUCCGCCUGGGGAGCACGGUCGCAAGAUUAAAACUCAAAUGAAUUGA